rnacentral:rRNA from 1 species
UACAGAGGGUGCAAGCGUUGUUCGGAAUUAUUGGGCGUAAAGGGCGCGUAGGCGGUGCGGUAAGUCUGUAGUGAAAUCUCUGGGCUCAACUCAGAGUCUGCUGCAGAAACUGCCGUGCUUGAGUGUGGGAGAGGUGAGUGGAAUUCCCGGUGUAGCGGUGAAAUGCGUAGAUAUCGGGAGGAACAUCUGUGGCGAAGGCGGCCACCUGGACCAGCGCUGACACUGAGGCACGAAAGCGUGGGGAGCAAACAGG